AACGAACGCUGGCGGCAUGCCUAACACAUGCAAGUCGAACGAUUGCCUUCGGGUGAUAGUGGCGCACGGGUGCGUAACGCGUGGGAAUCUGCCCUUAGGUUCGGAAUAACAGCUGGAAACGGCUGCUAAUACCGGAUGAUAUCGCGAAAUCAAAGAUUUAUCGCCUGAGGAUGAGCCCGCGUUGGAUUAGGUAGUUGGUGGGGUAAAGGCCUACCAAGCCGACGAUCCAUAGCUGGUCUGAGAGGAUGAUCAGCCACACUGGGACUGAGACACGGCCCAGACUCCUACGGGAGGCAGCAGUGGGGAAUAUUGGACAAUGGGCGCAAGCCUGAUCCAGCAAUGCCGCGUGAGUGAUGAAGGCCCUAGGGUUGUAAAGCUCUUUUACCCGGGAAGAUAAUGACUGUACCGGGAGAAUAAGCCCCGGCUAACUCCGUG
rnacentral:rRNA from 1 species